UUGGAGGGCAAGUCUGGUGCCAGCAGCCGCGGUAAUUCCAGCUCCAAUAGCGUAUAUUAAAGUUGUUGCAGUUAAAAAGCUCGUAGUUGAAUUUCGGGAUCAAAUAAUCGGUCGUGCCUCCGGUACGUACUGGUUUUAUUGGUUCCUCCCUUCUGACGAACCAUGAUGUCAUUAAUUUGAUGUGGUGGAGAAUCAGGACUGUUACCUUGAAAAAAUUAGAGUGUUUAAAGCAGGCUAACGCUUGAAUACAUUAGCAUGGAAUAAUGAAAUAGGACGUUCGACCCUAUUUUGUUGGUUUCUAGGAUCGACGUAAUGAUUAAUAGGGAUAGUUGGGGGCAUUAGUAUUCAAUUGUCAGAGGUGAAAUUCUUGGAUUUAUUGAAGACUAACUACUGCGAAAGCAUUUGCCAAGGAUGUUUUCAUUAAUCAAGAACGAAAGUUAGGGGAUCGAAGACGAUCAGAUACCGUCGUAGUCUUAACCAUAAACUAUGCCGACUAGGGAUCGGAUGAUGUUAAUUUUUAAUGUACUCAUUCGGCGCCUACGGGAAAC
rnacentral:rRNA from 1 species